rnacentral:rRNA from 1 species
ACUUAAAUUGAAGAGUUUGAUCAUGGCUCAGAUUGAACGCUGGCGGCAGGCCUAACACAUGCAAGUCGAGCGGUAGCACAGAGAGCUUGCUCUCGGGUGACGAGCGGCGGACGGGUGAGUAAUGUCUGGGAAACUGCCUGAUGGAGGGGGAUAACUACUGGAAACGGUAGCUAAUACCGCAUAACGUCGCAAGACCAAAGUGGGGGACCUUCGGGCCUCAUGCCAUCAGAUGUGCCCAGAUGGGAUUAGCUAGUAGGUGGGG